rnacentral:rRNA from 1 species
GAUGAACGCUGGCGGCGUGCCUAAUACAUGCAAGUCGAGCGAACAGACGAGGAGCUUGCCCCUCUGACGUUAGCGGCGGACGGGUGAGUAACACGUGGAUAACCUACCUAUAAGACUGGGAUAACUUCGGGAAACCGGAGCUAAUACCGGAUAAUAUAUUGAACCGCAUGGUUCAAUAGUGAAAGACGGUUUUGCUGUCACUUAUAGAUGGAUCCGCGCCGCAUUAGCUAGUUGGUAAGGUAACGGCUUACCAAGGCAACGAUGCGUAGCCGACCUGAGAGGGGGACCGGCCAAAUUGGAACUGAGACACGGCCCAGACUCCUAGGGGAGGCAGAAGUAGGGAAUCUUCCGCAAUGGGCGAAAGCCUGACGGAGCAACGCGGCGGGAGUGAUGAAGGUCUUCGGAUCGUAAAACUCUGUUAUUAGGGAAGAACAAAUGUGUAAGUAACUAUGCACGUCUUGACGGUACCUAAGCAGAAAGCCACGGCUAACUACGU